GACGAACGCUGGCGGCGUGCCUAAUACAUGCAAGUAGAACGCACAGUUUAUACCGUAGCUUGCUACACCAUAGACUGUGAGUUGCGAACGGGUGAGUAACGCGUAGGUAACCUGCCUGGUAGCGGGGGAUAACAAUUGGAAACGAUAGCUAAUACCGCAUAAUAUUAAUUAUUGCAUGAUAAUUAAUUGAAAGGUGCAAUUGCACCACUACCAGAUGGACCUGCGUUGUAUUAGCUAGUAGGUGAGGUAACGGCUCACCUAGGCGACGAUACAUAGCCGACCUGAGAGGGUGAUCGGCCACACUGGGACUGAGACACGGCCCAGACUCCUACGGGAGGCAGCAGUAGGGAAUCUUCGGCAAUGGACGAAAGUCUGACCGAGCAACGCCGCGUGAGUGAAGAAGGUUUUCGGAUCGUAAAGCUCUGUUGUAAGAGAAGAACGGGUGUGAGAGUGGAAAGUUCACACUGUGACGGUAUCUUACCAGAAAGGGACGGCUAACUACGUG
rnacentral:rRNA from 1 species